rnacentral:lncRNA from 1 species
AAAGAAAUAUCUUAUAGAAUUCAUAUAAAGAGAAGCUUACCGAAAUGAUGAUACAUACAAAUCCAGAGAAGUAUACAUCAAAUGUUAUAGUUUUUUUUAUUUCUUAUAAGAAAUUCAGAAACGGACAUACACAAGUGACAGAAAAUUAUGAGACCAAAAAGUUCAAUCAAAUAGAAAGAUCCAUUAUCUCUUUGAAGACGCUUUCUCAUCACUCUUUCUUUGUCUCUCCAUCCUUGUGUUUUCCCUUCUUUGGCUUAACGAAACAGAAGCAUGAACAACAAGGCAGCUGAAACAAAAACUUCAUCUUGAUUUGGAAUUGGAUCAACAGUAUACUACUUUGAUAUCUGCCUUUUAUAUUUGAUAUUAUGCUUUUGUAAUUCCAAUUUCAGAAUUAUUUUUGGGUUUCCUUUAUUCGUUUCUUCUUUUUGGAUGCUUUUCCAACCAAGUUGAUUCUCCCUUGAUAAGAAGAUGCCUCAUACCACUUAUU